rnacentral:lncRNA from 1 species
AAAUAGAAUAAUUAGUAUAAGAUAAGAUUUUUUGUUUGAUGCAAACAUUAAACAAAAUGUUGUAGUAUUUCUCGUCUAGAAGGUAUUAUCAAUUGUAACUUGAGACGGAAAGCAAAAACCAUUGAGCAUAUUUAGAUGACAUAUAAAAAGAAGAUGUGUUAUGACUGCCAAUGAAACAACUCCCCAAAAGAGACCAAAUGACACGUAAAAUAUGCUUAAGUCAUCAGAUGGAUACAAAUAGAAAUAAAUCUAACAAAAACUCAGAGUGGACGUGUACAUUUUUAUCAUUUUUUCUUUGCAGAAAAGGAGUACUUAUUGAUUUGUAUCCAGUCUCCUCAUUAAUGACUUGAUCUUCAGUGGAUAAUACCUUUUAGAUGUCAAAGUAACAUGUACAUAUAAACAGUGCAAUAGUCAUUAGUUAUAUCUAACACGAAGAUAUACAGGACGUAGCCGAGCUUUAUUACAUUCGGACAUAAUAUAUUAUUACAGAAGUUAGAAUUUUUUAUACUACAUUAAAAUUACUAAUAAAUGAUAUAGUGUUUUUGUUGAACACAAAACACACGAACAC